GGGCAUAUGGUUUAGUGGUAUAAUGCUCCCUUAGCACCGUCUCUUCGAGAACAAAAUAUGGGAGCGGUCCUGGGUUCGAUUCCCAGUAUGUCCA